GGUUCCGCAGCGGCGUAUGCAGCGCACACGCUCAGUUCAUAAGGUAUCGCUGUUCUUCGCGGUACACGAGCAAAACACAGCAACCUCUCGCGAGUGUAAAGGCGCCAGUAAGUAAUCGCUAAGCUGUCAGCUUCAAACUGGCAAAAACAGCAAGCAGCGACGGCCCACCGUGGGAAGUUCCCGCAGCAGCGCCGACGAUGAGUUGAGUGCCAAUGCAGUUCUUAAGCAACACGGAUCAGGAGAACAGCCGCACACCCGGCAAUGAGCAGGCAGAUUUGCUCCUCCUCCUGGCCCGACAGACGUCUGAUCUGAUUUUAUUUACACGAACCCCUGCCUAUAUGUAUGCGCAAAUGCUUGCCAUGAUUAACAAUGCAGAAAUGGUCACGACCAAUAAACAGCCGACGACGACGUUGAUCUAACAGGCACUGGAGCAUCCCAAAAGGAGCCCAAUCCCUACGGGUCUCCUGCUUCAGCUACUUCUCCCCUCUACAUCUCCUUUUUCUGUACACGAGUAUGCUUUUGCUGUCACCACCCUCCUGUUUUUUUUUUGUUUUUUUUUGCUUUUAUUGUUACCGCACUUGACUACGCGGUCACUCCUAGCUUCGUUGGGUCCAGCUGUUUUUGUUGUCAAACGCUGCCCCAGCAAUUUCUCUGCACGUACGCUGCAUGCCCUAUGUGCACGACCGCCGGAGGCUGUAACGCGUCCCUCCCGUCCAGAUGCAGCGGCGGACCGUCUUUGAGACAGUUGCAGUUUGCGGACAGACACAAAUGCCGAUCCUUCAGAAAAACAAGCAUACGUAAGUGCAGCAAAGCGGCACGCGUGGUUCCGAUCGACAAAGGUCCUUCAAACGAAUGAAUCCCUAGCAAAAAUUCUAAUAGAAGCUUGUAUUAGUCUAAUAAGUUUUUCUAUUAGAUGUAUUGGUCUUAUAAAAAUUUUUAUUAGCCUAAUAGAUGGAUGUAUUAGUCUAAUACAUUCUCCUAUUAGCCCUAUUAGUUUGUAUUAGUGAGCUGUAUAAGACUUGUAUUAGUCUAAUAGGUCUCGUAUAAGUUUUGGUCUGGCACCUAUUCGGCUAAUAGAAAUAUGGGUAUUUUGUUUAACAAGCUGGAUAUUUGUAUGUAAGUGUUCAACUGCAAAAUUGAUGACUCAAUUGGUUCAUCUAUUAGCCUUAUUAGUUUGUAUUGGUAUGUUAUAUAUGACUUGUUGAAAUUGAUAUUAGCCUAAUAGGUAGAUCGUACGGGCUUUUGUCCUGCACCUAUAUUAGGCUAAUAGAAAUAUGGUUAUUCUCUUAAACAAGCUAGGGCAUCAAGUAAAUGUUAAACCACAAAAUUUGUGACAUAAGGAUGACCUCUGGGUUACUAGCAUGUUUAUGGUGGCGCAUGUCAGGCAUGCAUCAUUCUUAUUCUGAAGAAGAUUUUCUCGCGCUGUGCAUAAAGUAUAUGUUUCACGAAAGAAAAGAGUACGGCAUCUAUUAAUAUGUGCCUCACAUUUUGGAAUUAACAUCACAGAGCUAUUGUGAUCUGCACAAUUUUCAUAAUAGCCUUGUUGCCCAUAUUGGCCAGACUUAAGGUUUUGAUCCUUGUUCCUUGUAAAUGCGACCAUCACUGAUUUCUUUCACAAUGCCAUCAUGAGUUUCAGGUUGCCUUCUCUUCAACGUGUCCAUUAAGCCCUAUGACACUGCUUUGUCAAAAAGCAUGACUUCAAUUUGUUUCUUGAGGUCCAAUGUAACAACAAAUUUUGACCAGAGAUUUCGGUGGUACAAUGUGGGCAUGAAAAAACCUUCUGACGAGGAUUCGAUAUCACAGCUUCGCAUGCUUGACAAAAAUAGUGACGCUUGACAAGGUCAUCCAUCCACUGCCUGCACGCUUUCCUUAGCAUCCAACUCGAAGUAGGAAGGACGGGCUUGCCCAGGAAAAGGUUAAUUAUUCCCACAAGCUUCUCCAUUCCUGUCCAGUUCAGUGCUACUGACACAGUGUACGCCAUAACAGUCAUGUCCGAGUUGGGAAGGCGUUCGCCAGAGAAGAUGAGACAAAAUUCACCAGCAUCACCUUCGCACCUAUAUGUAUCGCUGCAAUCUUCAGCGGAACCACUAGAUUCACUGUCAGACAGAUUGCUAGCGACGCCGCAGCUUUCUGCACGAUCACUUGCACUUCCACUUUGGUCGCUUGCAUCGUUGUCAGAAGCUUCACGGGGCGAGUCACUCACGCCGGUAUUUGCACUUGCGGCAGCACAGUUGACAAGAGGCGACUACUUGUGCGAAGGUGGCUUGGUGCACUGGCGGUUAUCCUGGUACCUCGAAGAUGUAGUACGUGAUAAUAAAUAAGCCGCCUCCGGUUCCAAAUAACGUUUCCUCCGCUCUGCAGUUUCAGACGUGCCGCCAUCAUGACGGAUAGCGCCUAAGUGCCUUUUAUCACUGCACCAUAUCCGAAAAAUGAAAAACCAAGUCAGGACUCGACUGAUUCAAUUUGACUGAGACCGCGACUAAAAGAACAACAAUGUUUGCUUGUUUGUUUUCUUGCUUUUUCCCUCUAUGGCGAUGGCGAUCCUACUGUCCCAUAUAGACGGUGUAUUUUAUUAACUACUCAUACAGUAUAAGAAAGCAAAAAAAAAAGCGAGAAAAAAAUUUUAACAUCGGAAAAAUUGAACAACAAAUUACACAGGCACGCAAACGCGUAUUUGGUUUGGAGUGUGAAUGAAACGUACUUACCGCUGGUGUCAUGCCAAAAGCAUAAACUUGCGCAAAGAGCUCAUACUUUUGUGAUUACUUUUAUUCCCGCGCAGAUUCAGUGAAUUUUUCCUCCGUAAUGGGAUUUGUGAGGAUUUUAGAAAUGUCCAAAUGGUGCAAACUAAAUUAGGAUUUCUAGGCGCAAACUCACUUCCCACCCCAUCAGCAUCGUCACCGCCAUCAGCUUUAACACGUGUGUUUCGCCGCUGGGCCUUCCGUCGCUGGGCCCAACGUUUCUUUCUCUGCGGUCUACGGCAAGCGAAGUUUGACAGCGCAGUUAUAUCACCACGUGUAAAACCUGCACAAUGUACGCUUAUGUGCGCUUCAAGGACGACGGCGUGAAGGUUGUCUGCACGAAGAAAGAAUUAAGAUAUUCUCUCCGUAUAGUAUCAAAGACUUCGACAACAAACAAUGGUACAGUGUACGCUGGGAUGACGAAAACAGCGGAUAUUUCAGAGCCCAGAUUAUGAAGUUGUUUGUAACCAAAGAGGAGGCUGAUGCUUCCGCGGAAAGCUCGAGCAAGAGAUUUUCCUGCCCCCAAAUGCCUAUGGACAGCAGUUUAGAAGGCGACACCGAAGCGAGUGGGGAAUCCUGCAGAAAGCACAAAAGAGAAAAACAAGUGCCAAAAUCUCGUGUGAAGGAUACCGAGGCACAGUUUAGGAAAAAACAGCUGGACCUUUUGUUUCCUCCUGAAGCAUGAAAGGGAGGAGAUUGUCUUCGGCAAGAAGUUGUGAGGCUGCGCAAGAUCUUCAAAGCAGAUUUCUUCAGCCACUCCUCGUCCAGAAGUAUCCAUUUAAGGAGGUUGACCUCGCGGUAAAAAUUGCGGACAUCAUGAAGGUACCGACGCCACCAACUCAGCAGCUAACACCACCACCUCAGCAGCCAAAUGAGGAAGGUUAACUGUAGAGGGCUCACCUCACUUGACGAUUUAAAUAAAGUGUGUUUGUGUUUGACAACUGCCUUUGUGUCAUAUGCAGUGACAUGCAUGCCGCUGCCGCAUGCUACGAGCAAAGCCUGCUCGCUGCCUGUGCAGGCACCUAUUGAUCUAAUAGAGGCUAUUAGUUUAUGCGUAUUAGCCUAAUACAGGCUAUUAGCUUAUGCCUAUAAGCCUAAUACAGGC